rnacentral:lncRNA from 1 species
UAGUUGGAUUCGUUAACCACUGGGCCACGACGGGAACUCCUGAAUUUAUUUUAAUGAUUGGGAUACAUACACACACAAACACACACACACGUACACACAUAUAUGUAUAUAUGUUUGUGUAUAGAUAUUUUAAAUUAUUAUAUUAAGUAUUCAUCUAUAUAUUACAUAUAAAAAAUUAUUUUUCUAUCUGUAUAAGCUGUGAAGAAUGAACAUAGGGAGUUUCAAAUUAAGACGAGAAGUCCUAGAAAUUUGACAACUCUGUUGUAUGGGAAGGAAUGAUAAGUUCUUACACAGUUAACAAGUAGCAAAAUCAUACAGCCUGUCUGUGAAUAAUUAAUUAGGGAAAUUUUUCAAAAAAGACAGCUAACUACAUAGACUCAAUCUCUCACUUUCUAGGAGAUGAAACAUCUAGAUGGCCCUGCUAACUACAGUAUUAUGUUAAUAAGAGAUGCAUCAACUUUUAAAUAAUUCCAGCAAAUCAGUUAUUUUCAACCAACUGCAAACAAGAGAGAUGAGUCAUCAUCUGGAGCACAUGGAUUAUGGGAGGAUUCCAAAUACCCUUCCCCAGUGCAUAUUCAAAACAUCCCAAGUUUAAAACUGGAAAUGCUGAUUGCUUCAGAGCCACUUAAAGUCAUUCCUUAGAAACAUCAUGCUCUUGCCAUUUUGUGAAAAUAUGUCCAAGAAAUGAAAUGAGUCUGAGCAUUCCUGGAUAUACACUAUAAUUUCUACUAUUUUAAGCUAAACAACAUCAGUUCAAUAGGAUGCAGGGUAAAUGCAAACCUAAAGGAGGUAUGGUUGAGAGAAAUCAUUCUAUAUAUUAUUAGGCAAUAUCCAUAGAAUGUUUUUUUAUAAUUAAAUUCACAUGUAUAAUAUUUUUUUAAUAUUUAAAAUUUUUAACUAUUUUUAUUAUAUUUGAUUUACAGUGUUCUGUCAAUUUCUGCUGUAAAGCAAAGUGACCUAGUUAUACAUAGAUAUGCAUACUUUUUCUUAAAUUAUCCUCCAUCAUGUUCCAUCACAAAUGAUUGGAUAUAGUUCCCUAUGCUAUAGAGCAGGGUCUUAUUGCUUAUCCUCUUCAGUGCAAUAGUUUGUGACUACUAACCCCCAAAUCCCAGUCCAUCCCACUCCCUCCCCAUCACCCUUGGCAACCACAAGUAUGUUCUCCAUGUCUAUGAGUUUGUUUCUUUUCUGUGGAAAGGUUCAUUUGUGCCAUAUAUUAGAUUCUAGAUAUAAAUGAUAUAUGGUAUUUGUCUUUCUCUUUCUGAUUUACUUCACUUAGUAUGAGAGUCUCUAGUUGCAUCCGUGUUGCUGCAAAUGGCAUUAUUUUGUUCUUUUAUGGCUGAAUAGUAUUCCAUUGUGUAUAUAUAUAUACACCACAUCUUCUUGUCAAUGGUCAUUUGGGUUGUUUCCAUGUCUUGGCUAUUGUGAAUAGUACUGCAGUGAACAUACAGGUACAUGUCUUUUUCAAUUAAACUUUUUUCUGGAUAUAUACCCAGGAGUGGGAUUGCUGGGUUGUAUGGUAGUUCUAUAUUUAUUUCCUGAGAUACUUCCAUACAUUUUUCCAUAGAGGUUGUAGCAAUUUACAUGCCCACCAACAU